UACGUAGGGUGCAAGCGUUAAUCGGAAUUACUGGGCGUAAAGCGUGCGCAGGCGGUUUUGUAAGACAGAUGUGAAAUGCCCGGGCUUAACCUGGGAACUGCAUUUGUGACUGCAAGGCUAGAGUUUGGCAGAGGGGGGUAGAAUUCCGGGUGUAGCGGUGAAAUGCGUAGAUAUCUGGAGGAACACCGGUGGCGAAGGCGGCAUCCUGGACCGAUACUGACGCUGAGGAGCGAAAGCCAGGGGAGCAAACGGG
rnacentral:rRNA from 1 species